AUGUAUACUUCAAGAGGAAAAUCAGGUGUGCUUAUUAUACUUCAAGAGGAAAAUCUGGUUUCCCAGAAAACUGAAUGCAAACAGGUACAUAUGGGGAAUCCACAAAGCAAAGCAGCGGAACAAACGACUUUGUCAGAUGUACCUCCAGAUCAGAUGGAGGGGGCAAAUGUUGAUGAGAUUUACCCAAGUAGUCCAGAACGGAGGAUACUUGAACAAACCGAACAACCGGUUCUUCCCCAACCGACUGAUGGUGAUAGCACAAAUGUUCAACGACCUUCCCAUCUGAUUACAGACAGCCCCGCAAAAUGUAAUGAACCUUCGUUUGUGCCUCCCAGUUGUCUCACACAAGUUUGUGCCACAGAUGUAGCACAAAGUUCAAAUGUAGCUGAAGAUGCGUCUCAUAUACAUGGAGGAAGACAUGUGGGGAUUAAUGCGUCAAUACGUGAUGCCUUACAAGUUUUACCCGUGUCCGAUGCAACAUCCGAUUACAUGACUACAACAUCUGGAGUGAAUGUCGCCAAACAAACUAUGAAAGGUAAAUUGUCUGACGAAAAAAGGGAGCAGAUAAAUGCCAGGAGAGCUGCUUAUCGGAAGAAAAAAGAGGAUGAUGCGGUCAAGCUCCAUGGUGACAUUCAAACUUCCCUUACAAUGUCUGCUAGCAUGCAACAUAACGAGGAAAAGAGGGAGAUAAUAAACACGCGGAGGCGGGCAGCUUAUCGGAAGAAAGAUGAUGAGGUUACCGUUGUACGGGAAGCAGUUGUGCAAAAUGUUCUCCGGGCCCCUCUCGGUGAUAUCACUAAUGGGUAUCAACCAACCUCUGUGGACCUUGAUGAAAAAAAGGAGCAGCUAAAAGCUCGGAGGCGAGCUACUUAUCGGAAGAAAAAAGAGGACGCCGCCGUCAAGCAUCUACAUGAAAAUCUGCCUGCCCUUGCGAUAUCAGAUGUGCAAAAUGUUCAUAGGCCCGCUCUCGGUGAUAUCACUAAUGGGUAUAAAACAUCCUCUGUGGACCUUGACGAUAAAAGGGAAGAGAUAAAAGCUCGGAGGCGAUCUACUUAUCGAAAGAAAAAAGAUGAGGCCGCCGUCAAGCAUCUACAUGAAAAUCUGCCUGCCCUUACGGUAUCAGGUUAG
rnacentral:rRNA from 1 species